AACGAACGCUGGCGGCAUGCCUAACACAUGCAAGUCGAACGAGACCUUCGGGUCUAGUGGCGCACGGGUGCGUAACGGGUGGGAACCUGCCCUUAGGUUCGGAAUAACUCCCCGAAAGGGGUGCUAAUACCGGAUAAUGUCUUCGGACCAAAGAUUUAUCGCCCUUGGAUGGGCCCGCGUUGGAUUAGCUAGUUGGUAGGGUAAAAGCCUACCAAGGCGACGAUCCAUAGCUGGUCUGAGAGGAUGAUCAGCCACACUGGGACUGAGACACGGCGCAGACUCCUACGGGAGGCAGCAGUGGGGAAUAUUGGACAAUGGGCGAAAGCCUGAUACAGCAAUGCCGCGUGAGUGAUGAAGGCCUUAGGGUUGUAAAGCUCUUUUACCCGGGAUGAUAAUGACAGUACCGGGAGAAUAAGCUCCGGCUAACUCCGUG
rnacentral:rRNA from 1 species